rnacentral:rRNA from 1 species
AGUGAACGCUGGCGGUAGGCCUAACACAUGCAAGUCGAACGGCAGCACAGUAAGAGCUUGCUCUUACGGGUGGCGAGUGGCGGACGGGUGAGGAAUACAUCGGAAUCUACUUUUUCGUGGGGGAUAACGUAGGGAAACUUACGCUAAUACCGCAUACGACCUACGGGUGAAAGCAGGGGAUCUUCGGACCUUGCGCGAUUGAAUGAGCCGAUGUCGGAUUAGCUAGUUGGCGGGGUAAAGGCCCACCAAGGCGACGAUCCGUAGCUGGUCUGAGAGGAUGAUCAGCCACACUGGAGCUGAGACACGGUCCAGACUCCUACGGGAGGCAGCAGUGGGGAAUAUUGGACAAUGGGCGCAAGCCUGAUCCAGCCAUACCGCGUGGGUGAUGAAGGCCUUCGGGUUGUAAAGCCCUUUUGUUGGGAAAGAAAAGCAGCAGGUUAAUACCCCGCUGUUCUGACGGUACCCAAAGAAUAAGCACCGGCUAACUUCGUG